ensembl:snRNA U2 U2 spliceosomal RNA
AUUGCUUCUUGGCCUUUUGGCUAAGAUCAAGUGUAGAUAUUCAGUAUGCUGACAUUCAUUAUUGGGAAUUUGUACCUUUACGUAAUAUAUCUGGGUUCUUAUUUUUCUUAAUCCCUUUCUAUUCUAAGUGGAAGUACUUUUUUCCUAGGAGGAGGAACACUC